rnacentral:rRNA from 1 species
AUUGAACGCUGGCGGCAUGCUUUACACAUGCAAGUCGAACGGCAGCGCGGGCUUCGGCCUGGCGGCGAGUGGCGAACGGGUGAGUAAUGCAUCGGAACGUGCCCAGUAGUGGGGGAUAGCCCAGCGAAAGCCGGAUUAAUACCGCAUACGGCCUGAGGGUGAAAGCGGGGGACCGAAAGGCCUCGCGCUAUUGGAGCGGCCGAUGUCGGAUUAGCUAGUUGGUGGGGUAAAGGCUUACCAAGGCGACGAUCCGUAGCUGGUCUGAGAGGACGACCAGCCACACUGGGACUGAGACACGGCCCAGACUCCUACGGGAGGCAGCAGUGGGGAAUUUUGGACAAUGGGGGCAACCCUGAUCCAGCCAUGCCGCGUGCGGGAAGAAGGCCUUCGGGUUGUAAACCGCUUUUGUUCGGGAAGAAAUCCUCUGGGCUAAUACCCCGGGGGGAUGACGGUACCGGAAGAAUAAGCACCGGCUAACUACGUG